GAGGGUAUAGCUGGGUGGUAGAGUGCAUGCUUAGCGUGCAUGAGGUCCUGGGUUCAAUCCCCAGUACCUCCA
rfam:Camelus ferus unplaced genomic scaffold scaffold172, whole genome shotgun sequence.